CAGCAGCCACGGGAAUACGAAGGGGGCUAGCGUUGCUCGGAAUGACUGGGCGUAAAGGGCGCGUAGGCGGCGAUCAAAGUCAGGCGUGAAAUUCCUGGGCUCAACCUGGGGGCUGCGCUUGAUACUUGGUUGCUUGAGUGGGGAAGAGGGUCGUGGAAUUCCCAGUGUAGAGGUGAAAUUCGUAGAUAUUGGGAAGAACACCGGUGGCGAAGGCGGCGACCUGGUCCUUGACUGACGCUGAGGCGCGAAAGCGUGGGGAGCAAACAGGAUUAGAUACCCCGGUAGUCCCUGUCUCUUAUAC
rnacentral:rRNA from 1 species